CUUCCUACGGGGGGCAGCAGUGAGGAAUAUUGGUCAAUGGGCGGGAGCCUGAACCAGCCAAGUCGCGUGAGGGAAGACGGUCCUAUGGAUUGUAAACCUCUUUAGGCGGGGAGCAAUGCCGGGCACGCGUGCCCGUAUGGAGAGUACCCGCAGAAAAAGCAUCGGCUAACUCCGUGCCAGCAGCCGCGGAAAUACGGAGGAUGCGAGCGUUAUCCGGAUUUAUUGGGUUUAAAGGUGGCGUAGGCG
rnacentral:rRNA from 1 species